rnacentral:lncRNA from 1 species
GAGACAUACUCUAGUCUCUCACAUACCCAUUGGUCUCUCACACACUCACACCAACAUACCCCAGUCUCUCCCAAUCACUGAACUCUCAGUCUAGUCUCUUGCUUUUACUCAGACACACACAUGAUCUUUCUCAGACUCCAGGGAGCCUCAUACUUGUUCAUCUUUCACACAGGCACAUCUAUUUCUCUCACACAUUGAUAUACCCUGGUCUCACACUCUGGAUUCUCACAAUCCAGUCCCUGAUAACACACUCAGGUGACAAAGAGGAAAAACAAACUGUUUCUCCUACUCCACUCACACAACACAAAACAGUUCUAAGACCAGAUGUGUGGGGAUCUACACACACACACACACACACACACACACACACACACACACCAGGCAAGCAAUAAGUUCUUCAGUGAAUACCAGGUGGGUGACCUCUAGGGCAACCCAAUUCUGACACUAUCUACCUGGAGACAGCAUAAGAUCCCACAGGUUGAGGGCUCAGCCCUACAAAAUUGCUCCCCACUUCCAAUGCCAGUUGCAAACCCCAGGUUGUUUUACUUGUGCUUCUGACUAGCUAUAAAUCGGGGUUCCUAUGACCCCCUCCUUGCGUUCAAUUAAUUUGCUAGGGCAGCUCACAGAACUUAGGGAAACACGUUUGUAGUAAUAAAGGAUAUUACAAAGGAUGCAGGUGAAGAAAUGCAUAGGACAAGGUUAUAUAGGAAGGGGCUCAUCCUACAGGAACCUCCAGUGUUCAGCUAUCUGGAAGUUUGAUGAACCCAGUCCUUUUGGGUUUUUAUGGAAGCUUCAUAAUGUAGGCAUGACUGGUUAAAUCACUGACCACUGAUGAUCAGUUUAACCUGUGGCUCCCUUUCCUUUCCCUGGAGAUUGAGGGAUGGGGCAGGUAAUCCCAACCCUCUAAUCCUGCCUAGAUUGUUCUUGUGACCAUCCCUUACCGUGAUCAACCUACAGGCUGCCAGCCCACCAAUCAUUAGCAUGCAAAAAGACACUUAAUACUUUGGAGAUUCCAAGGAUCUUAGAAGUCGUAAGCCAGGAAACAUAACUUUGUCCUAUACUUUGAUCGCCUCCCUCUCUCUCACAAACUCAUAACAACAUAACCUAGUCUCACUCUUUGGACUCUCACAGUUUAGUCUCUUUCUCUCUCUCAUACACACACACCAGCCUCUCAAGGAGCCUCACAUAAUGACUGGUCUUUCACACACAGCCACGUGCUCAUCUCUCUCACACUCACUGGUCUCACGCUAUGUUGUCUCUCACACACGAACACACCCUGGUCUCACACUCUGGUCUCUCUCAGUCUGUCAGACACACAUAACACGGCCUCACACACUGACGGGUCUUUCACCCAAAACACCCAUUUCUCACACUCACUGGUCUCCCUUUCACACAUUAACAUACCACAGUCUCACACUCUGUUCUUGCACAGUCUAGUCUCGCAUACAUGGUGAUUCUUCUCUCUCUCGAACACACACCGGCCUCUCAUUGAGCCUCACCCACCGACCGACCGGCCUUUCACACACAGGCACACGCCCAUCUCUCACACUCACUGGUCUCUCACACUCCAUCCAGCCCGUCUCACUCUCUCACACGAAUACAUCCUGGUCUCACGCUCUGGACACCUGGUCUGUUACACACUUACACACCCACACACCUCGCAACCUCUCACUGAGCUUCACACGCUCUCUUUCAAAUGCAGGCACAUCCCUAUCUCUCUCACACUCACUGGUCUCUCACACUGGCCCGUCUCGCUCUGUCACACACGAACAUACCCUGGUCUCACACUGGACUCUCGGUCUGUCACACACACACACACACACACACAGAAACCACACCCUCUCACGGAGCCUCACACUCUGACAGAUCUUUUACACACAGGCACACCCCCAUCUCUCCCACAGCUCACUCCAGUGGUCCCGCCGCCCCAAGCCGCCCCGAACGCCCAGCAGCC